rnacentral:piRNA from 1 species
GGAAACACCUUGCUUGGGUGAAGUGUCA